rnacentral:tRNA from 1 species
GCGGGUAUGGUAUAGUGGCUAUUACACGUCCUUGCCAAGGACGAGAUGGCGGUUCGAUUCCGCUUACCCGCUCAA